rnacentral:lncRNA from 1 species
CACUUGCACUGGCUCAUCCUCUCAAAAGAGGCACGCGCUGCUUUCCGGUUUAAAGGCUAGAUCUUAGCCGUUCCUGUCGUGGCUCACUGGUAGCGAACAUGACUAGGUUCUGUGAGGAUGCAGCCUCGAUCCCCGGCCUUGCUUGGUGGGUUGAAGGAUCUGGCGUGCAGUGUAGGCCGAAGACGAGGCUUGGAUCUGGGGGGGCUGGGGCUGUGGUGUAGGCUGGCAGCUGUAGCUCCAUGUCAACCCCUAGCCUGGGAACUUCAUAUGCUGCACUUGCCACCCUAAAAAGAAAAAAAAAGAAAAAAAAACUAGGUCUCAGUAAACUUCGGUGUUUUGUUUUGUUUUGUUUGCUUUUUAAGGGCCGUACCUACAGCAUAUGGAAGUUCCCAGGCUAGGAGUUGCAUCGGAGCUGCAGCUGCCCGCCUACCCCACAGCCACAGCACUGUGGGCUCCGAGCUGCAUCUGUGACCUAUACCAUAGCUCAUGGCAAUGCAGGAUCCUUAACCCACUGAGUGGGGCUAGGGAUCGAACCCACAUCCUUAUGGAUACUGGUUUGGUUCAUUUCCACUGAGCUACAGUGGAAACCCUGUUUUGUGUUUUGAUGGCAGCGCCUGUGGCAUGUGGAAGUUCUUGGUCCCAGAGAUCAAACCUGCGCCACAGUGACCCGAGCCAAUGCAGUCAGGUUCUUAACCCACUGUACCACAGCGGGAACUCCUGUAAAAUCAGUUUUAACUAAUAGUAACCUUGAUAAAAUAAAUGCUUGGAGAAAUUUGGCACUGAUGAGUGGUCUGAACCAGAUUCCCUUCUUAUCAGACUGCAUUGCAUUCCAUUUGCUUAACGUUUAAGAAAUAGAAACCACUUGGAAAUGAUGCUUAGCUGGGAUGAGAUCAAAACCUUUAAGAUCCUAUUCCUGGGAACUUCCAUAUGCCGCAGGUACGGCCCUAAGAAAGCAAAAAAAAUAAGCACACAAAAAAUAAAGGAAACAAAGUACUAACCAGGUGGGCAACACGUGUGUUUUGUUGUUUGUUUUGUUUUGUUGGCAAAAGGGAAGAAAAAGACAAAUUUGCUCGGAACUUUUUCUUCAUUUCUAGGGAUGGCGAGUAAAGAGAGGUUUUCUUUAUUACGUACUUCCUUAAGAACUUAAAGGAGGAGUUCCCUUGUGGCUCAGUAGGUUAAGGGUCUGGCAUCGUUACUGCUGUGGUUCAGGUUCAGUCCUUGGCACAGCAACUUGUGCCUGCUUUAGUUAUCAGGAUGUGUCUCUAAGGGGUACACUUUAAGGGUUUCUCGAUGGAGUAUUGUUUUUGUUUUCUUUCUUUUUAGGGCCACACCUGCACCUUAAGUUGCACCUGUGGCAUGUGGAAGGUCCCAGGCUAGGGUUCUAAUUGGAGCUGCAGCUGCCAGCCUACACCACAGCCACAGCAACGCAGGAUCAGAGUUGCAUCUGUGACCUGCACCACAGCUUGCGGCAGUGCUGAAUCCUCAACCCACUGAAUGAGGCCAGGGAUCGAACCUGCAUCCUUACAGAUACUAGUCAGGUACUUAACCUGCUUAGCCAUAAGGGGAACUCCUGAGGUAUUGUUUUGGGUUGACGUGGGUGUUAGUCUAACACCGCUGUGUGACCAGCACACGUGACUAGCCAUUUGCUUAAUUUCUUUGACUGGAAUUUCCUAAUUGCUUCAGGUGACUGGAGUUUUAUUGCAUGAUGGAGGUGCCUUCUACGUUUUAAUCUUGAGAACAUGGUUCUGGUUUAAAAUUGUUAGGGGAAUAAUUUGCCUAGCACCUCUCAUGUAUCAGCUUGGAAGUUACUCUUGAAAGAAGAUCCAGGUGAGUUAAAAAUCUCAGCACUAGAUCCCAAACAGAGGUUGUAUUUAGGUUUUUCAGUACAGGUUCUGUACAGGUUUUAUUUUUUACCAGAGUUGAUUUACAAUGUUUUGUCAGCGUCUGCUGUCCGGCAAAGUGACCCAGUCACACGUAUGUACACAUUCUUUGUCUCACAUUCUCCUCCAUCAUGUUCCACCACAAGCGAUUGGAUGUAGUUCCCGGUGCUGUAUGUAUACAGCAGGACCUCAUUGCUUAUCUGUUCCAAAUGCAAUAGUUUGCAUCUACUGACCCCAGACUCCCUGUGCAGCCCACUCCCUCCCCCUUGGCAACCCCAAGUCUGUUCUCCAUGUCCAUGGUUUGUUUGUUUUUCUUUCUGUGGGAAGGUUCCUUUGUGCUGUGUGUUAGGUUCCAGAUAGAAGUGAUACCAUGUGGUAUUUGUCUUUAUCCUUCUGACUUACUUCAUUUAGUAUGAGAGUCUCUCGUUCCAUCCAUGUUAUUGCAGAUGGCAUUGUUUUGUUCAUUUUGAUGGCUGAGUAGUAUUCUACGGUGUAUGUGUACCACAUCUUCUUAACCCAUUCAUCUGUUGAUAUUUAGGUUGUUGCCAUGUCCGGGCUGUUGUGAAGAGUGCUGCAGGGAACAUGCAGGUGCAUGUGUCUUUUUGAAUGAAAGUUUUGUGCAGAUAUGUGCCCAGGAGUGUGGUUGCUGAAUCAUAUGGUAGUUCUAUGUUUAGGUUCAUGAGGUACCGCCAUACUGUUUUCCAUAGUGCUUGUACCAAUGUACAUUCUCACCAGUAGUGUAGGAGGGUUCCCUUUUUCCACACCCUCUCCAGCAUUUGUUAUUUGUAGGUUCUCAUAUUUUCUUGUCAUUGGCUUCAUUGAUUUUUUUCUGCUCUAUUCUUUACACAUUUAAAAAGGUUAUUUCUGUUUCCUUCUUUUCACUUUGGCUUUAAUUUUCCUUUUCUAGCUUCUUAAGUUGGAAACAGAGAGCACUCAUUUUAAUACUUCUUUUCUGAUAUAAGCAUUGAAAGCUAUGCGUUUUCCUCUGUGCACUGCUUUUGCUGCAUCCCAUAAAUUUUGAUGUGUUCUAUUAUCAUUCAGAUUAAAAUAAUCUAAUUUGCUUACAGAUGUCUUUUUUGACUCAUAGGUUACAGUGUUUAGAAGCAUGCUGUUUAAAGUACCAGUGUUUGGCGAUUUCCCAAACAGCUUUUUGUUGCAAAGAGCACUUCAUAGACUUUCACUCCUUUAAAUUUUUGAGAUUUGUACUGUGGCUGAACAUGUCGUCAUCUAUGCGGGCCUGUGCUCUGUAUGUUUGGGAGGAGAGUGCAGCCUCUAGUUGUUAGGAAUGGUGUUACUGGUUGAGGUUGGUUGAUAAAGUUCACGGCUCUCGUGUCCUUACUGCCUUUUUCCGAGAGUCUCCUGAGGUUCACUUGAUGUUCAGUCAGUACAGCCACCCAGGAUUUCUCAGGAUUAACGUUUAAAUGAGGUAGCUUUUUAUCCUUUUACUCUAAACUCAUUCUAUGAGGCCACCAUCACCCUGAUACCAAAACCAGACAAAAUACCAUAUAAAAAGAAAAUUAU